UGAUUAAAAAAUUUUUUAUUUUUUUUUUGUAUAUUAAUUAAUUUAAUAAAAAUAUUUUUAUUGAUAAAAAAUUUUAGUAUUAUUAAAGAAAAAAUAUUAAAUAUUAUAAAUGAAGAGUAUUGUAAAAGAAAAAUUGAAAAAAAUUUAUGAAAUACUUAAAUAUUAAUAAGUAAAAUUAAAAUUUUGUACCUUUUGUAUCAGGGUUUAUUAAAAAUAAGUUAAUUAAAAUUAUUUAUCUCGAAAUUUUAAGAGUUAAUUUAAUAUAAAUUUUAUUGUUUCAUAAAUAAAUUAAAUAUUAAAUUAGAAGUGAAAUGUUAUUCGUUUAAAAUAUAUAUCUAUUUUUAUAUAUAAUUUAAUUUAAAUAAUUAUUUAAAUUUAUUAUGAUUCAAGUUAUAUGGUAAAAUUAUUUUACUUAAAUUAAUUAAAUUGUGGUAAAAUUUCUUUAAAUUUGUAAUAAUUCUUAAUUUAUAUGGUAAAAUUAUAUAAAUUUAUUUAUAAAAUUGAAUUUUAACAAAUUUUAAUAAUUUAUUUAUAUUAAUUGAAGUUAUACAAAUUUAAAUAAAUAUUUAAAUUUAAUUAAAAUAUAAUUUAUAAAUAAAAUUUAUAAAAUUAAUUUAAAUUUAUUAAUAUAUAUAUAUAUAUACAUAGAUAGAUUAAAAUAAGGAAUUUGGCAAAAAUUAAUGUUCACCUGUUUAUUAAAAACAUGUCUUUUAUGAAUUUAAUUAAAAGUCUAAUCUGCUCACUGAUUAAAUUAUUAAAGAGCCGCAGUAUUUUGACUGUGCAAAGGUAGCAUAAUCAUUAGUCUCUUAAUUAGAGUCUUGUAUGAAAGAUUUGAUGAAAUAUUAACUGUCUCAUUUUAAAUGUAAUUAAAAUUUAAUUUUUAAGUCAAAAAGCUUAAAUAAAUUUAGAGGACGAGAAGACCCUAUAGAACUUUAUAAAUAUAUUAUUAUAAAUUUUAUAAGAAAUAAUUUAAUUAAUAUUAUUAUAUUUAUUUCAUUGGGAUGAUGAAUAGAUUAAUUUAACUCUAUUAUAUAAAUAAUAAAAUCAUAGAUUUAUGUUUAAAUUUUAUCUUAUAUUAUGAAAUAUAAAUUAAGUUACCUUAGGGAUAACAGCGUAAUUUUUUUUUAAAGUUCAUAUUAACAAAAAAGAUUGCGACCUCGAUGUUGGAUUAAGAUAAAAAUUAGGUGUAGAAGUUUAAUUUUAUAGUCUGUUCGACUAAUAUAUUCUUACAUGAUCUAAGUUAAAAUCGGCGUGAGCCAGAUUGGUUUCUAUCCUUAAAUAAAAUAAUUAUUUUAGUACGAGAGGAUCAAAUAAUUGAAAUAAAUUUAUUUAUAUAGAUUAUCAUUAAUUUUUUUAUUA
rnacentral:rRNA from 1 species